rnacentral:snRNA from 1 species
AUACUUACCUGGCGCAGGGGUUAACCGUGAUCAUGAAGGCGGUUCCCCCAGGGCGAGACGACGUCAUUGCACUUCGACGCUGUUGACCUCUGCGAGUAUCUCAAACGUAGAUACCUCGGGCGUAUAAUUUUUGAUAGUCGGGCUAGCGUUCGCGCUGGCCCGGU